rnacentral:rRNA from 1 species
AUUGAACGCUGGCGGCAGGCCUAACACAUGCAAGUCGAACGAGUGGCGGACGGGUGAGUAAUGUCUGGGAAACUGCCCGAUGGAGGGGGAUAACUACUGGAAACGGUAGCUAAUACCGCAUACCCUCGGAUGUGCCCAGAUGGGAUGAGCUUGUAGGUGAGGUAACGGCUCACCUAGGCGACGAUCCCUAGCUGGUGUGAGAGGAUGGCCAGCCACACUGGAACUGAGACACGGUCCAGACUCCUACGGGCGGCAGCAGUGGGGAAAAUGGAACAAUGGGCGCAAGCCUGAUGCAGCCAUGCCGCGUGUAUGAAGAAGGCCUUCGAGUUGUAAAGUACUUUCAGCGGGGAGGCGUUACCCGCAGAAGAAGCACCGGCUAACUCCGUGCCAGCAGCCGCGGUAAUAC